GAGUUGUAGUCUUUCAAACAGCUGUGAAUUUCUAUACCUGUAUUGGAACACUACAGCUCCU
rnacentral:pre_miRNA from 2 species